UGAUGAUAGUGAGGAAAAUUUCUGAGCAUACGUUUAAAUCUCUCCCAAGCUUGGUAAAGAUUCUCUCCUUCUUUCAAUCUGAAACUUAAAAUCUCACUUUUCAAACG
rnacentral:snoRNA from 1 species